GCCUUGGUGGUGUAGCGAUAGAACACGCGAAUGGUAUGAAGCGCGGGUUCGAUUCCCGCCUGAGACC